AGAACGAACGCUGGCGGCAUGCCUAACACAUGCAAGUCGAACGAGACCUUCGGGUCUAGUGGCGCACGGGUGCGUAACGCGUGGGAAUCUGCCCUUGGGUUCGGAAUAACAGUUGGAAACGACUGCUAAUACCGGAUGAUGUCUUCGGACCAAAGAUUUAUCGCCCAGGGAUGAGCCUGCGUAGGAUUAGCUUGUUGGUGAGGUAAAGGCUCACCAAGGCGACGAUCCUUAGCUGGUCUGAGAGGAUGAUCAGCCACACUGGGACUGAGACACGGCCCAGACUCCGUACGGGAGCAGCAGUGGGGAAUA
rnacentral:rRNA from 1 species